rnacentral:rRNA from 1 species
AUUGAACGCUGGCGGCAGGCCUAACACAUGCAAGUCGAACGAGUGGCGGACGGGUGAGUAAUGUCUGGGAAACUGCCUGAUGGAGGGGGAUAACUACUGGAAACGGUAGCUAAUACCGCAUACCAUCGGAUGUGCCCAGAUGGGAUUAGCUAGUAGGUGGGGUAAAGGCUCACCUAGGCGACGAUCCCUAGCUGGUCUGAGAGGAUGACCAGCCACACUGGGACUGAGAACAGGUCCAGAAUCCUACGGGAGGAAGCAGUGGGGAAUAUUGCACAAUGGGCGAAAGCCUGAUGGAGCCAUGCCGCGUGAUUGAAGAAGGCCUUCGGAUUGUAAAGUACUUUCAGCGGGGAGGCGUUACCCGAAGAGGAAGCACCGGCUAACUCCGUGCCAGCAGCCGCGGUAAUAC